AGCAGGAAGGAAUUUUCGUCAAUGGGGGCAACCCUGAACGAGCAACGCCGCGUGGGCGAAGAAGUCCUUCGGGAUGUAAAGCCCUUUUCCCUGUGAAGAAAGAAAGACGGUAACAGGGGAAUAAGCAUCGGCUAACUACGUGCCAGCAGCCGCGGUAAUACGUAGGAUGCAAGCGUUGUCCGGAAUUAUUGGGCGUAAAGAGCGCGCAGGCGGUCAAUCAAGUCAGAUGUGAAAUAUCCGGGCUUAACCUGGAGGGGUCAUUUGAAACUGGUUGACUAGAGUACAGCAGAGGAUAGCGGAAUUCCCGGUGUAGUGGUGAAAUGCGUAGAUAUCGGGAGGAACACCAGUGGCGAAGGCGGCUAUCUGGGCUGAAACUGACGCUGAGGCGCGAAGGCUAGGGGAGCAAACAGGAUUAGAUACCCUGGUAGUCCUAGCAGUAAACGAUGGAUA
rnacentral:rRNA from 1 species